rnacentral:lncRNA from 1 species
CCACUUUGGCCCGAAUCGCCUAAUUAACAACCGAUAAGGGACGGGAAAAAUCCCAAGAAGUAUCCAGUAAAUACUACAGGCAAUUCUCUAUCUAAUUACACUAAUCACACAACUAAUAUGCAAAGCAAUUAACUAAUAAUCACCUAUGAAGCACGGACACGCUGUCCAUGCUCGCGUAUCGUGUCCGACACGUGUCGGAGCGUGUCGGACACCUCGACACGCUCGGACACGCUCGGACACGCGGUCAACGCGUGUCGGAUUUUUCGACACGUGGUCAACCUUUUCCGACACGUUUCGACACGCG